GCCGCCGUAACGUAGCUUGGCUAGCGUACAGGCCUGUGGAGCCUGGAGGCCGGGUUCAAAUCCCGGCGGCGGCC
rnacentral:tRNA from 1 species